AUGAAAAAAAAAAAAAAAAAGGAAAGAAAACGGAAAUAGAAACUAAAAGAAAAGAGCCGAUUGGACUUGUAAAACUGUUUUCCAAGGGUAAUAUUUCAACGGUAAAAAGUUCGGAAUUCUUCAUCGUCAAAAGAUUGCCUCAUUAAGGAUGCAUUAUGCACCCCCUCGUAAAUCCUCCAUGAUACAACCAAGGUGUCUGAUUAAAGUACAACAGGAGGAAAGGACGCCUUUGCGGAAUAUCCAUCUGCGAGGAUCUACGUUUAAUUUAACAGAACCGAGCCAGAUCACUUCAAAGUCCUUGGGAUGACAGGAAGGAGACUCUUUAUUCGUAGAUGAAUCCUAAAGAGGAUCUUGAUCCUGGAAGCUGGAAAAAAACAUCCUCCGCGAUAGCUAUACGAAGAGGAAUUGUUCGUAACAGGCAUGCAGCUUUUUUUCAAAACGAUUUUUACUAGGCAGUAUUUUUCAUAGCAGCGAAACGGACUGCUGUUACGAAAUGUCCAAGCUGCAUGGCGUCCCAAUAAAAAAGAGUCAUGGGAAGAUCGUAUCAAGACAGUCGCCGCAGUUGGUCACUACGAAAUACCACGGAAUUGGAACUGUCUGUUUUAUAGAGCGGAAUCCAUGUUUACCGGAUAUCGUCGGCAACGGUCGUCCUAUUACAGCGACUACUGCCGCAGCAAUUCCACCGGAAGUCUGUGCCUGGGCCAAUGCUCCACCAACGGCAUGACUGCUUCCUAUUGGUCUCGGUGGUGCACCUCCCAUAGUCUUCAUAGUUCCUACAAAUUAUAUCGACCUUGCGGUGCAUUCGCAGGCUGUCCCACUCGUCUCCUGAUGCGUUUUCUCGCGGUUUGAUAUAUCCUCCAGUAAAGGAUCAAGAUGACGAAGAGAGGCAGGUAGAAGGAUGAUAUCGUGGCGAAUAUCUGCGUGAAGAAAUAAUUAAGCUUUAUCGAGUAUAACUGUUAUUAUUAUUAUUUUUCUUAAUUAUUCUUAUUACGCAAUUACAAAGAAAGGUAUACCUAUAUCAGACUCGGGCAUUAAUUUAUAUUAAUAACUGCUAACCAAGAUGGGCAUUAUUGUUAUAAGGUAACAAUGGCGGACGUCUAAUUGUUCG